AUUGAACGCUGGCGGCAUGCCUAACACAUGCAAGUCGAACGGAGAUAGGGGCAACCUUAUUUCAGUGGCGGACGGGUGAGGAAUGCGUCGGAAUCUGCCCUAUGGUGGGGGAUAACACAGGGAAACUUGUGCUAAUACCGCAUAAUGUCGAGAGACCAAAGCAGGGGACCGCAAGGCCUUGCGCGAUAGGAUGAGCCGACGCCCGAUUAGCUUGUUGGUAGGGUAAUGGCCUACCAAGGCGACGAUCGGUAGCUGGUCUGAGAGGAUGAUCAGCCACACUGGGACUGAGACACGGCCCAGACUCCUACGGGAGGCAGCAGUGGGGAAUAUUGGACAAUGGGCGCAAGCCUGAUCCAGCAAUGCCGCGUGUGUGAAGAAGGCC
rnacentral:rRNA from 1 species